rnacentral:rRNA from 1 species
GUGAACGCUGGCGGCGUGCUUAAGACAUGCAAGUCGAACGGUCUUUUCGGAGACAGUGGCGCACGGGUGAGUAACACGUAACUGACCUGCCCCAAAGUCGCGGAUAACUGGGUGAAAGUCCAGCUAAUACGUGAUGUGCUGUCAGAUUUUGUUCUGCCAGUAAAGGUUUACUGCUUUGGGAUGGGGUUGCGUUCCAUCAGCUAGUUGGCGGGGUAAAGGCCCACCAAGGCGACGACGGAUAGCCGGCCUGAGAGGGUGGCCGGCCACAGGGGCACUGAGACACGGGUCCCACUCCUACGGGAGGCAGCAGUUAGGAAUCUUCCACAAUGGGCGAAAGCCUGAUGGAGCGACGCCGCGUGAGGGAUGAAGGUUCUCGGAUCGUAAACCUCUGAAUCAGGGACGAAAGACGCGCAAGCGGGAUGACGGUACCUGAGUAAUAGCACCGGCUAACUCCGU